ACAUGUGUCAGUGCAGCAACACGACACCUCCAACGGGGAGCAUGAGUCGUGUGACCCUCAGAGGCUCUGUCAGUGGAAAACGCUGUGUCAUUAUCAUUGUUGUGUGGGUGGUCACUCAUGACAACACAGACUCCACAGGAACAACAGAGCUGCUCUGCAAGACGAACGUGUGGGGAGAAAAAUUAAAGUGGAGCGAUGCUGUGACUAAUACUUCGUCCACUGCGUAAAAUGACCAGGUGGAUAGCAUCAUGCUGUGGCUCCUCAAACAGGAGCAGCCCAGCAGCCGGAUGUCUGUCACAGUGUAAAGGGCAGAACGUGUGGACAGUUUCCAGUGAUGAGAAACCACCACCAGUUUAAAUUCGCCGAGUCCUCCCAGCAGGGUGGACUGAGGAGAUGCCCUCAUUUCUAAGCCCGGUCAUCCAUCAGUGAAGUUUGUUAUCAUGCAGCAUGUGUGUCUGUGUUGCUCUGCAGUUGUUUUAAUGAUGAUUUGUCUGUAAACUCCCUGUUGGGAAGCCGGAUAAAGUCUGAGAGCUGACAAGUGCAGCAGCGACGAGAUAGAUACAUGUUUACCUAUAAUGUGAUAUAAUAAUCCAAUGAAUUAAACAAAUGGCUUAUGA